ACCAGGUACAAUUCUAUGUGAUGAUCAAAUCUUCUCACCAACCACCUCUCAGGACCUAUGAAGAAUAAGAGAGCAUUGACAGCUGGAGCCAGGGUAUAAAACCCACAAGAAGAUUUCUCAGGUCGUCAGGGUACCAGAACUGGUACCAUCGCUGGUACCAGCACCUGCAGAGGCACAGCAUGACCAGCACCAGCAGUUGGGUGAAAAACAAAGAGAUGAAGAUGGUUGAUGGGCUGUGCUGCGUUUCCUCCACCCAAGGCAGAGACACUGUUCUUGAGCAAGCCCUUAUUGGGACGCUGGACAAAAGAAGCAAAUGUUAAUUUUGUGAAAUAGUUCUGGUAAGAGUCCUGGGACUCUGAGAGAGGCAGAAACAUGGCACAUGCAUCAUGAUUCAACAACCUGUGCAUCCCCUGCCACUCAUGUAGCCCCAUGUGCCAUCUAGUGGAAAAGGUCAAGCUUUAAAGGUAGUCAACCUGAGCUAAGAGGGUUUACAACGGGAAGGAAAAAAGGAAGAAGGGAAUCUUUUAUCUGAAGAUCAGAACAUUGCUAAGUGCAGAUGUCUGGUAAAUUAGUGUCAGUUUGGAACUAAUAGGAAAAUUAUUGCUGUUAUAAAUAAACACCUUUGAAUAUUUAGUUGUAUACAGAGCAAUACUGUCUGAGGUGCAGAAGAACUUGUUAUUCUAAUUCUUGUGACUGGUCUUGAUUAUAUAAAGGUAAUAUGGAGAAGGAAAAGGGUGUGAAGGAAAAGAAAAAGUAAAAUUGUGAGAGAAGCUCACAGUUUGAAAGAUCUUAAAGGAAGUAGUAAAAGCAAUUUUUAACAACAAUGUCAAGUUCCCUAUUGUCUGAAAUGUGCAUGUAAAAGAAGAUACUAAAAUAUAAAUGUAACAAACUGUGCUAAGUAUUUCAAAUUGUUAUGAAUAAAAGAAUUUUGUUUAAUA